UGAGAAAUGGCUACCACAUACCAAGGAAGGCAGCAGGCGCGUAAAUUACCCAAUCCUGACACGAGGGAGGUAGUGACAAUAAAUAACAAUGUGGUCUUUUUAAGUCUGACAAUUGGAAUGAGAACAAUUUAAAUCCCUUAUCGAGGAUCAAUUGGAGGGCAAGUCUGGUGCCAGCAGCCGCGGUAAUUCCAGCUCCAAUAGCGUAUACUAAAGUUGUUGCAGUUAAAAAGCUCGUAGUUGAAUUUCUGGUCUCGAGACGCGGUCAGCCCCAAGGGGUUUGUACUUGCGGAUUGGGACCAUCCUCGAGAAGAACAUAUCUGUCAUUGAGUUGAUGGGUAUGGGAAUCUCGUCAUUUACUGUGAGCAAAAUAGAGUGUUCAAAGCAGGCUUACGCCGUUGAAUACAUUAGCAUGGAAUAAUAAGAUAGGACCUUGGUCUAUUUUGUUGGUUAGUUCUCCAAGGUAAUGAUUAAUAGGGACAGUUGGG
rnacentral:rRNA from 1 species